rnacentral:rRNA from 1 species
GAUGAACGCUAGCUACAGGCUUAACACAUGCAAGUCGAGGGGUAACGGGAGGAAAGCUUGCUUUCCUUGUCGACGACCGGCGCACGGGUGAGUAACGCGUAUCCAACCUGCCCCCAACUAGGGAAUAACCUUGCGAAAGUAAGACUAAUACCCUAUAAUUUCCUCAGAUGACAUCUGACGAGGAAUAAAGAUUUAUCGGUUGUGGAUGGUGAUGCGUCUGAUUAGCUUGUUGGCGGGGUAACGGCCCACCAAGGCAACGAUCAGUAGGGGUUCUGAGAGGAAGGUCCCCCACAUUGGAACUGAGACACGGGCCAAACUCCUACGGGAGGCAGCAGUGAGGAAGAUUGGUCAAUGGGCGGAAGCUUGAACCAGCCAAGUAGCGUGCAGGAUGACGGCCCUAUGGGUUGUAAACUGCUUUUAUACAGGAAUAAAGUUAGCCACGUGUGGUUAUUUGUAGGUACUGUAUGAAUAAGGACCGGCUAAUUCCGUGCCAGCAGCCGCGGUAA